UUGCUCUUGGUUUUAAUCCUUUUGGAAUGUCUGAGGGUCAGGAGCAUAGCCAUUGAUGGCUAUGGGAGUUGUCAGGCUGUGACUCUCUUUCUCACAGAGAAUGCCAGAGGCACCCGGGAAGGCAUUUGCCAGGGCUCUGACAGAUGUAAAGUAAGCCUCAUCCAUGUUGUGUUCUCACCGGGACACCUGGAAGGUGUUCAGUGUAGAAAAGUCACGAGCUAGAUGAGAUACCAGCUUGAUGUCAACUCCCUCCCCAACAAUGGCUGCCUGUCUUCGUCUUAAUGCCUGCCAGCAGGAAAGCACUGUCUUAGAACCCAGCUCACCUGAUUUUGCCGAUGAGUCAACUUCGAAGCGUGCCUCAUUCCGGAAAGUGAAUCACGUAAUCACAAUGGAGUCUUGCUCUUGUUGCCCAGGCUGGAGUGCAAUGGCAUGAUCUUGGCUCACUGCAAAAUCUGCCUCCCGGUAGAGAUGGGGUUUCAUCAUGUUCGCCAGGCUGGUUUCGAACUCCUGACCUCAAGAGAUCUGCCCGCCUCGACCUCCCAAAGUGCUAGGAUUACAGGCAUGAGCCACCACGCCCGGCCUUAUAUAUUGAAUUUUGUAUAUAAUUAAGCCUUAUCCUUUUUAAGGCAAUAUAUGUAACAAUAAAUAGCUGAAUUAAGUAAGCCCUCUGAAUUAAGUUAGUGGACCCUCAUAAAAGAUAAGUUUUAAAAUUAAAUAUUAUCUAAAGAUUUUGAUAGUCUCCUGAUGGGAGUAUCUGAAUUAAGUGUCACAGCUAAAAAUAGUAGAGCGGUCACAUUCCCUAGGACCAGUUCUCAAACUUUGUUAAAAUGCAGAUUCCUGACCUCUAUCAUUAAACAUUUUCAUUUAGAAGUGGGGAGUGUGGCCUUCAUAUUUUAGCUGCUUAACUAGUAGCACAGUGAAGAUUGCAUAAGGGGUCAUUGGAUCACUUUUUGAAAAGCAUGGUCUUAGAGAAAAGGGACAUCCCACACUCUUUCACAGUGUAGCAACACGCGGGAAAGAGAACAGUCAAAUUGUUUUGAUAUGACGAAAGGAAAUGCAGGCUUUCUAGUAUACACAAAACAUAUUCAAAAAGCUAGAAGUUUAUCACUAAAGCUUUUGGAAGUAAAUCUACGUUUAGCAACUCAAUUUUUUAGAUUUUCUUCUCAAUUAUCCGGACAUGAGAUUGAGGUCUGUGAUUCUCAGGUCCUUUUAGUUAUGCAUAUCACUCAAGGAGCUAUGGACUUCAAAUGACUUACGUUUGUGAUAAAGCCUCAUUUAACCCACAAUAAUAGGAAGGCUGCUCUGAUUUUCUGAAGUUAGAAAUGAGAGAUUAAAUAAGUACAUUUGUUGUAGUUUAAUAUUACACAUUCUAUGAUGAAAACAUUGUUUCUUACACUGCCUCCUACUAUCUGGAAAAUCAGUAAUCCUAAAAUGUUCUUUCAAAACCAGGGACCUAAAUGGCUAGAAGCAAUAAUUGCUAGAGCUCUCUACCAAGUUUUGACUAUAAAUAUUUGGCCAUGUUGUGUGUUAGAAAGUAUAAGACACACUUGCUUUCAUUUCCUGAGCCUGACUCACUUAAUUUUCUCAUCCAGAUUUGCUUUCAUCUGUUUAUUCCUUUAUAGCAUAGAUGAGGUCCACUGUGGUUCUAAUCUCUGUUAUGCAUGCUUUUUUUUAUGAAUAAAAUGCCAGGCACACAGAACAUACAUAUGCACAUUUUACUACAAGAUAGUAAAAGCUCAAUGUGCUGGGACUGCAUUCCCAAUGUGACCUUAUUUUCCCACUCUUUGCAGUUUUAAAAUGUUAUGUUAAUCUCGCAUUCUGGAUGAUCCCCGUCCAGAAUGGGGAUCUCUUUAGAUUUCUAGAAGAAAUCUAAAGAUUUCUUCUUAACAGUGAGUCCUGGCAAUGUAUAGUGGCCAUAGAAUAGCUAAAUUUGAAGAGGCUUUUUGGCAAAGAUUUGAAUAUCUGUCCUCUGACCUUUUAUGGUUCUUGUCUGUAUUUCAUAAUACAAAACUAAUGAGGAUUUCACUUUCGUGAAAUCUGCCUUGCUAAAUGCUGCUUGCAAACAACACACUCAUUUGUUAGCAUUUGGGAUACUGAUUAAAUCAUUUUGCUUUAGUGACUGUUAAAGAGUAUAGUUUGAAAGAAAAAAAAAAUGUUUUUAGACUCCUGUAUAGUGUACCAAAAUCUAUGCAAAUUCUUACAAGGCCUUUUAAUGUACAGGUGAACCCCAGCACUUAUUAUCAUCUGAUGCACAGAUAAUGCACAUGUCACAUGUUGGUAAUAAAAUAUCAGAGUUAGACUGACACUCUUAGAGUGUUUAACACUGUUUUAUUGGCUUACUGGCCGUAAUUGGAUUCACUGCAUCCAUUUUUUUCAUGCCACCGCUUAAAACAUUUUCCACGUAUUUUAUCCAUGCUUUUGUCACAGCUUUGUCUGUAGCUACAUUGACUUGAUUACUCAUAUUCUAUGGCAAUUCCUGGCAUUUGGCUUAUUUUUCCAUUAGCCUCCUUACUUUCAAAAAUCCGUCCAUCUUAUUUGUUGACAGCCUCUGAUUAUCUCAAAGGUACUUCAGAUUAUCCUGACACGUCCUUCCACUUCUGAGAAUACUGACCCAGUAUUUCAAGACUGAGGUGUCUCUGAGACAGAAGAUGGAGCCAGUGACGAUGUCCUCCCUUAUUCAGACUCUUUGAAUAAUGCUUUUUACUCACCCUAUGGACUCUGCUAGAAAGACACUUUAAUAUUUUUGCAAUUUAUAUUUUUCUAUUAUUGAAAAAUAAUAGAAACCACUGCCUUAGUCGGUUUAACAGUUUAACAAAGUUGUUUUCAAAAGAACAGAGAAAACGUAACUCCAUUUAGGUUGUCUUUCAUUUGCAAAUACUAACUGAAACUUGAGUUAGGGAUUGUAUAACUUGGAAGCAGUAUUAAUAAAAUGAAGUCAUUGGCAUAUUAAAAAUGUCCUAGUGUUCACUUCAAGUGUAUUUUUAAAAACCUCACAGGUAAUGGUGUGAAAGAAACAAAGGAGAUGUUUGCAUUCAUUAUGUUCCACUGGAAAAAAACGGUUAAUGUAAUUGUAUGGAUUUUUCCCUUCUUGUUUUUGUGUACUGUAUAGCCCAUUCUUUGCUUUAUGUACAAAUACCCUGGUUUCUAAGUGCUACUUAUUUUCUGCUGAAAUAAAAUAUCCUUUCAAUUUAGUGAGUAA